rnacentral:tRNA from 1 species
GUGUGUUUAUUAUAAUUAUUAUUAUUUUUAUUUUGCGUUUAAAAGAUUUUAACUCACG